UACGGGGGGUGCGAGCGUUGUCCGGAAUCACUGGGCGUAAAGGGCGCGUAGGUGGUUUGAUAAGGGUGUGGUGAAAGUCCGGGGCUCAACCCCGGAUCUGCCGUGCCGACUGUCAAACUCGAGGGCUGUAGAGGCAGGCGGAAUUCCGGGUGUAGCGGUGGAAUGCGUAGAGAUCAGGAGGAACACCGGUGGCGAAGGCGGCCAACUGGGCCGUCACUGACGCUGAGGCGCGAAAGCUCGGGGAGCGAACGGG
rnacentral:rRNA from 1 species